GAUGAACGCUAGCGGCAGGCUUAACACAUGCAAGUCGAGGGGCAGCGGUAUGUAGCAGUACAUAGCCGGCGACCGGCGCAAGGGUGCGUAACGCGUGAGCAACAUGCCCGUCACAGGAGGAUAAUCCAUGGAAACGUGGUCUAAUACUCCAUAGUAUCGGAGUGAGGCAUCUCAUUCUGAUUAAAGCUUCGGUGGUGACGGAUUGGCUCGCGUGACAUUAGCUAGAUGGAAAGGUAACGGCUCACCAUGGCUACGAUGUCUAGGGGAACUGAGAGGUUUAUCCCCCACACUGGUACUGAGACACGGACCAGACUCCUGCGGAGCAGCAGUGAGGAAUAUUGGACAAUGGAUGGAAUCUGAUCCAGCCAUG
rnacentral:rRNA from 1 species